rnacentral:rRNA from 1 species
AUUGAACGCUGGCGGCAGGCCUAACACAUGCAAGUCGAGCGGAUGAAGGGAGCUUGCUCCUGGAUUCAGCGGCGGACGGGUGAGUAAUGCCUAGGAAUCUGCCUGGUAGUGGGGGAUAACGUCCGGAAACGGGCGCUAAUACCGCAUACGUCCUGAGGGAGAAAGUGGGGGAUCUUCGGACCUCACGCUAUCAGAUGAGCCUAGGUCGGAUUAGCUAGUUGGUGGGGUAAAGGCCUACCAAGGCGACGAUCCGUAACUGGUCUGAGAGGAUGAUCAGUCACACUGGAACUGAGACACGGUCCAGACUCCUACGGGAGGCAGCAGUGGGGAAUAUUGGACAAUGGGCGAAAGCCUUAUCCAGCCAUGCCGCGUGUGUGAAGAAGGUCUUCGGAUUGUAAAGCACUUUAAGUUGGGGGGAAGGGCAGUAAGUUAAUACCUUGCUGUUUUGACGUUACCAACAGAAUAAGCACCGGCUAACUUCGUG